ACUCCUACGGGAGGCAGCAGUGGGGAAUAUUGCACAAUGGGCGCAAGCCUGAUGCAGCCAUGCCGCGUGUGUGAAGAAGGCCUUCGGUUGUAAAGCACUUUCAGUCGUGAGGAAGGUGGUAGUGUUAAUAGCACUAUCAUUUGACGUUAGCGACAGAAGAAGCACCGGCUAACUCCGUGCCAGCAGCCGCGGUAAUACGGAGGGGUGCGAGCGUUAAUCGGAAUUACUGGGCGUAAAGCGCAUGCAGGUGGUUUGUUAAGUCAGAUGUGAAAGCCCGGGGCGUCAACCUCGGAAUAGCAUUUGAAACUGGCAGACUAGAGUACUGUAGAGGGGGUAGAAUUUCAGGUGUAGCGGUGAAAUGCGUAGAGAUCUGAAGGAAUACCGGUGGCGAAGGCGGCCCCCUGGACAGAUACUGACACUCAGAUGCGAAAGCGUGGGGAGCAAACAGGAUUAGAUACCCUGGUAGGAUAGCG
rnacentral:rRNA from 1 species